UCUAUGUUCCGAAACCAUUGUCCAGAGUAUUUCUUCUGGACUAUUUUCCACUUCCCUCCAUCUGCCCGGCCAGCUGUUCUGCAUUUGUAAAAGCUGGUUUCUGAUGUCAUCUCUAGGCAGGACCGCUCCCUUCCUCUCCUGCACUCCUAUACUUCGUGGCAUAUCUGCCCCAAGAUAACACUUGUCACUGUUUUCCAAAUUCAGUUUUAUUCAUUUGCUUCACAUGUGCACUGAGCCCACUGACUUCUUUCCCUGUCUGUUGCCAGCACUGGAGACCAAGCCUGCACCCUUUGGCCCAGAUCAUCUCAUUUACCUUUUAACACAGAAUCAGGGCCAUUCUCAAGCACAACCUGGGUGAGGCUCUGUCGUUGCUUAAUGGAUCAGCUGUAUAGUAACAGCAGAAGAUAAAACAUGGGUCCCUGGUCACUGGACAACCAAGUGAAAGCAGAGUUCAGAGGAAAAUCUUCAGGUGUGAACCACUGUGCCCAGCCCCAGAAGAAUGAAGUUACUCUUGUCUUGCACCAUAUACAAAAGUCAACUCAAAAUGCAUUAAAAACUUAAAUGUAAGACUCCAAACUAUGAAACUACUAGAAGAAACGUGGGGGAAAAUCUCCAUGACAUUGAUCUUGGCAAUGAUUCUUUCGAUAUAACCUCAAAAGCAAAGGCAACAAAAGCAAAAACAUCACACGAAAAAGCUUCUGCACAGCAAAGGAAACAAUUAACAGAGUGAAGAGACAUGCUAUAGAAUGGCAGAAAAUAUUUUCAAAGUAUACAUUUAGCAAACGUUAAUAUCAAUAUAGAAGAAACUAAAACAACUCAACAGCAAGAAAAUAUAUUACCCCAUUAAAGAAUGGACAAGACUUGAAUAAACAUUUUCCAGAGAGACAAGCUAUAGAAUGGGAGAAAAUGUUUUCAAACUAUAUCAACCAACAGUAAAUAUCAAUAUAUAAAGAACUAAAACAACUCAAUAGCAAGAAAAUACAUUACCCCAUUAAAAAUGGACAAAAGACUUGAAUAAACAUUUCCCAAAACAAGAUAUGCAAAUGGCCAACAAGUAUAGUCAUGCACUGCAGAACAGUGUUUCAGUCAGUGACAGUACUGCAUAUAUGAUGGUGGUCCCAUAAGGUUAUUGUAGAGCUGAAAAAUUCCUAUCACCUAGUGAGUGCAGUAGCUGUGGUAACAUCAUAGUGCAAUGCAUUACCCAUGUGUUUGUGAUGAUACUGGUGUAAACAAACCUACUGCACUGCUAAUCAUAUAAACAUAGCAAAUGCAAUUAUACACAGUACAUAAUACUUGAUAUAAAUGAGUUUUUCACUGGUUUAUGUAUUUAUUGUACUAUACUUUUUUAUCAUUAUUUUAGCAGGUACUUCCUCUACUUAUUAAAAAAAAAGUUCACGGUAAUGUAGCCCCAGGCAGGUCCUUCAGGGGGUAUUCCAGAAGAAAGCAUUGCUAUUAUAGGAGAUGACAGCUCCAUGCAUGUUAUUGCCCUGAAGACCUUCCAGUGAGGCAAGAUGUGGAGGUGAAAGACAGUGAUACUGAUGAUCUCAGCACUGUACAGGCCUAGGCUAAUGUAUGUGCUUGUGUCUUAGGUUUAACAAAAAAGUUUAUAAAGUU